AAAAUGACUAAAUUAAACCAUUUAUUACAUACAGGGAAAAGGAAGAAAUAUGACCAAAAUUAUAUUGUUUGUUUAUGUCAUGAUUAUCAUAAUUUCUCUAAUUUUUGCUGCUAUAAACGUUGAAGCGGUGUUCUAUCCACCGUUCUAUCCUAGUAUGAGAUGUACUAGUGAUUCGAAAUGUUCUCCAUUGAGGUGUUGGGAACCUUGGAUAGCAAAGUGUGUCAAUAAAUGGUGUAGAUGUGUAACUGCAGAAGACCUAUGAUAACAUUUGUGAUGUCCCAUAGCUUUUGUUUUUAUUUAUUUAUUAUUUUUAUAGCAAUGCACCUUGACACCAAAAAUAACAUUAAAUACUUACACUCGGCUACGGUUUACCGUGAACAGUGUAAUAGUACUCGUGAAUAAUAAAUUUUAAUGGUAACUAAAAGUUGGUUAAUAAAAUAUAAAAAAUGUAUUAAUAAAAUGGUAAAGUUGGUUAAAAAAUGCUCACAUAUUAAAAAUAAUUUUUAAUAGUAAAUAAAGUUGGUUAAUAAAAAAUACAACAUUGAUUAAUAAAGUUAUGAAGUGGAUUUAAUAAAUGUACAAAUAUUAAAAAUAAUAUUUAGUUUUAAAACAAUGUUAAUUAAUGAAAUUAAAAUAUUAGUUAAUGAAAUUAUGAAGUUGGUUAAUAAACAUUCAAAUAUUAAAAUAAUUUUUAGUAGUAAUAUA